GCCGCAGUAAGAAGAGUGGGUGUUGAUUGGUUGAUGCGGGGGGAAGCUAGAGAAGGGCGAGGGGGGGCGGCUGUGAGGAAAGCUCUGGAAGAUUCGGGUGCUGCUUAGCGCUGAUUGGUGCGCGGUGAGAUCCAGCUUGGAUCCCUUGAUGGCAAGGAGAAUGUCCAGAAUGCUUCCCCCUCUGCAAUAUUCUUUAUCCUGAAGCGUCAUAGGGCAACAGACUUUAACUUCUCAAAAUGCUUUCUACAUUUAAAAUAUGCUGAAC